GUUAAAAUUUUUUUACAUCGUAUAUUUUUAACAGAUCGCAUGAAAAAGCGAGAUUUAACGAGAAGUUAACGGCCAUGGCAAAGAGAAAUUAAAAUGGCGGACAUAGGCACACCUAGUAGGCAUGAGAAAAGUUUAGGGCUAUUAACAACAAAAUUUGUGUCUCUACUACAAGAAGCUAAAGAUGGUGUUCUAGAUUUGAAAAUGGCAGCAGACACGCUUGCUGUGCGACAAAAAAGAAGGAUUUAUGAUAUAACCAAUGUACUGGAAGGGAUUGGAUUAAUCGAAAAGAAGUCGAAGAACAGUAUUCAGUGGAAGGGGGCAGGACCUGGAUGUAACACUAGGGAAAUCUCUGAACGUCUAGUGGCUUUAAAAGAGGAACUUCGCCUGCUUGAACAGACAGAAGAAGAACUCGACCUCCACCACUGUUGGGCACAGCAGAGUAUUCGAAAUAUCACAGAAGACCAAACAAAUUUCCAGCUAGCCUACGUCAGUCAUGAUGACAUCUGUCGUUGUUUCGAAGGUGAUACUCUACUAGCAAUACAAGCCCCUUCGGGAACUCAGUUGGAAGUGCCUCUACUAGAGGAGUAUGGAUCACAGAAGAAGAAAUAUCAGACUCAUCUGAAGUCAAAUUCUGGACCUAUUAAUGUCCUACUGGUAAAUAAAGAAAGUGAUUCAUCCAGUCCUGUUGUAGUUCAGGUCCCCCCUCCUUGUGAAGAUCCAAAUGAUAUGUCGUCAACUUUAAAUACAGAAGACAAUGGUUCUCUGACUGCUGCUUCAUCAUUGGAAGAACAGAUGACACCAUCUUCAAAUACUCGUGCUUCUGCCCGACAGUUACAACAGCAACAAGUGUCAUCCCCAAAAUCUACAACAGAACUGAUAGAGGAAUUGAUGGAAGUUCAAGCUAGCUCUUGCCCACCAGUCACACGUAUGUCUACAAGACAGUCACAAAGGAAAUCAAACCAACGGCAAACUGGAACUUCCAGUAGGAAAACGGGGAAGCUAGAAACUUCUCAAACGCCUGUUGAAGCCAGUGCUAAAAUAGAAAUCACUGCAGAUGGAGCCACUGGAAGUGUGGAAAAAGAGACAAAAGAACUUUCAGAUGAAUUCUUAGAUCCUACUAAAGUUACGGCCAUUGACCAGGAUUUCCUUGAUGAACUGAUAUCCUCAGAUAUGUUUUCUCCAUUACUGAGGCUUAGCCCACCUCCCAGUGACAGAGACUACUGCUUCAACCUGUGUGACACUGAGGGUGUCUGUGAUCUAUUUGAUGUACAUAUGAUUCCCUUUUGACUUGUAGAGUUGAAUGUGGUUUCAUUGCAUUUAUUAUUACAUAAUACCUCAUUUUCCUGUUUGAGGAAAGGACACACAAGCAGCAACUGGUUUGUUUCAGAUGUCUUUCUGGUCAUUUUGGUCAGUGUGAGAUAUAUUUAUGUAAUGUUACUGAGAAAAUUUUGUUAACAAAUAGACUCCUGUUUCAUCAUUUUUUCCACUCAUUUUGGACUCUGGAUCAUUUGCGUCUGAACAAUGAUGUCGUGAACAACAGAACUCGGUGUGAUUAAUUCAAUGUUAAUGGUGGGCACUGUCCGAUUAAGUGUCAUCAGUACUUCAGGUAUUAGCGCUUUUCAUCACAUGGCAUGGUCAUGUCAGAUAUUGAUAUCAGUUCAGAUGUUGUUAAUAUGGUCACAUUAUCUGUUUUUGAUUCUUUAUAUGGUCAGUUCAAGUGAUAUUAAAGAAGAAUGUUAUAUAUAACACUGUCGUGAAGUAGGUACCAAAUCAAUGGUUGACUAAAAUAUAUAUAUAUAUUUAAGAACAUUUUUUUAUUUUGUUUUUCUUGUAUAUGUAGCUUUUUAAAAUUAAUUAAGCAGACACGUUGAUAUUCAGUAUAUUUGUGUUUUGUUUUAAAUGUCCAAGUUUUGUUAUCCACUCGGACUUUUUUAGCAUUAGGAAGUUUUAAUAAACAUGCGUUAAAGACGUCUUUAAGCACGUACUGACGGGUGUUAUAACUUAUGCCAUGUAACAUCUACACCGAUAUGUUUUUUAUAAUAAUGAUGAAUAAGUUUCACAUUGUAUGUUUUAACAGGAACAGAGUUGUAGUUUUCAUAAUUGUAGAUAUAAUGGUGAAGUUAUAAUAAUUAUUGUAAACACUUUCUGUGGAGAAGGCUUUUCAGAAGAUUUUUUCUUUAUAUAUAUAUAUACACACACAUACCAGAUAGUAUAAAAUACAAGUUACCAUUUCAUGGUAUUACUAAGGGUAGUUUAUCUUUUCCUUACAGUGUUUGCUCCCUCUAUCUUUUUUUUUUUUUUAACAACUGGCAGGAAAUUAGUUUUCAAAAAUAACUUGAUAGAAAACAGUUACCAUAGGCUUGCUUUAAUUCUUUCACUAUAAAGUACGUUUUUUUUUGAGGAUUAUUAAAGUCAUGCUUUAGAGAUUGGUAAUUCAAGUGUACAAACAACAACAAAAUUUCGACAUAUUAAGAAUAUUUAACCAACACUACAAGUAUAUUUUCAAUCACGAUCUUGGGGCAGCAUUGAAUGUAUUAAAAUUUGUUUAGUAAUCUGAUUGAACUAUAACAAAUAUAAAAUAGUUAAAAUUUGGUAAGAGCCGUAAGGUGUUAUGCAUAAAACAGGAGUACUCUCCAUACGUCGGCUAUAUUGCAUUUAUAGACAUCAAAGGAGUUAUUUAGUUCCUAGUUAGUGAUGUAAAUAUUGCUUGUAAGUUUCCUUAGAGAUGUAUAUAAAAGUAAAUGAAAAAAAAACAACAUUCCAGAACAGUAAGUAUCGGAAAGCAUUUUAGUGUCAUUCUUCUAUACAAACAGCUUAGUGUUCCCGUUGAUGAUGUAAAGAGUUUGGGUGUAAGUUUUUGGAAGAUAUUAUUAAAUGUUCAGAAACAGACAUAAAACAACUCACUUUGUGACCCCGGAGAAUGGUGGAAUAUAUUCUAGUUUGGGUUUGAUGUACAACGCUAGAUUUCUGAUAUCAUUAAGCUCCUUUUGUAGGCAUCAAAACUAUUACUUGUAUCCAGGAUAUAUACUUCCAGGGAUUCCUGCUAGAAGAAAUAUAUUAAUGUCUGUCGAAAGGUAAUGGGGAGGGGGGCAUUUUGAAGAAGGUCGUAAAAAUGACAAGUCAAAAAAUUCCAUGUCCUGCUUCAUCACUUUUUGUAAUUUUUUGUCAAGUAGUGCCGAGGCAUUUUCCACAAACAUGACAAUGUGUUACUUGUCUUACAGUUAUAAUACACAGUGCUGUUUGAUACAGUGACCAAAAAUAAUUAGCCACAGCACUGAACAUAAUGCAAAGUUGAGCAGUUACCCAAAAAUUGGGGUCUCUCAUUAUUGAUUUUCAUAAGUGAGUAACGACCUUCAACUAUAGAAUAUCAGGGCAAGUUUUCAUGCAAUUACAGAAUGACUUGGGGGGGGGGGUGGAGAAAUCCUUGGAUCAUCCAGGGGAAAACAUUUGUUUACCAGGUAUAAUAAUGGGGUCAUGCGAACUGUGACUUCACAUCAGAUUUUUUUACAACUUAAUAAAUAAAAUAUUGUGAAUAAAUAGAUGAAUUUGCCUUAACUUAGGUUUUGUUUCCAUAGUGCUGAAUGGGGAAAUUUUACACUCAAUAUACAGCACAAUAUGUUGCAGCUUUGUCAUCCAUAGUUAACCCCAUUUGUGAAUAAACUAAUCAACAAAUUAACCUUAACUUAGGUUUUGUUUCCAUAGUGCUGAAUGGUGAAAUUUUACACCCAAUAUACAGCACAAAAUGUUGCAGCUUUGUCAUCCAUAGUUGACCCCAUUUGUGAAUAAACUAAUCAACAAAAUCACCUUAACUUAGGUUUUGUUUCCAUAGUGCUGAAUGGUGAAAUUUUACACCCAAUAUACAGCACAAUAUGUUGCAGCUUUGUCAUCCAUAGUUAACCCCAUUUGUGAAUAAAUUAAUCAACAAAAUAAAGAAAAUUAUUUCAAGUAUAGAUGCACUUAAUGAUUAAAAUAUAAUCUUCAGUAUCCUGAACUUAACCGUAGAUUGGUGCUUCAUCAGUUAUAUCAACAGUACUGUAAUCAUAAGAAUAUUAGAGUUAUUGGUCUGUACAGGAUUUUUCUUUUAUCAACUACUACUAUUUAACUACAGGAGAUCGUGGACUAGUCAUCGUAGGCCACAACAAAUAUUUGGAAUACGUUUUAAACCUGAUAAUGAGCUACAAAAUCACAGUAAAAUAACCUGUAAUUUUAAACUCUUCAUUCUGAAAUGUAUACUUUAACAGUGUAUCAUUUACAGUCUCUUUUAUUUAGUUUUGAGAGUAAGAUUAGAAACUGAACCUUCACUUUUCCUUGUGAUGCCUUAGGUAUUUAUUAAUGCAGUAGAAGUACAUAAAAUGUUUAUAUAGUCACCUUUGUUGCAUAAACCGAAACUGUUGAGAAAAAACACAGAAAUGACUGAGUUGCAUAUGAGGUAUUCUGCAUACACAGUUUAAAAUAUAUAUAUAACUCGUUUGAUAUAUGUUUCUUGUAUCUGUACUGAAUGCAAUGCAGCUUUAGUAACUUACCUUGAAUUUUACCUUUAAUCGUGUUGCAUACAUCUCGUUAAAAGUACCUGAUGAGUGUUAAAAUGUGAACUAGAUUGUGUUUUUACUACCAUGAAAAAGUCUUUGUUAAACUUUUUAAAACAGUGAUGUGUAGGAAGGGGUUUGUACCCCCCCACUAGCAAAUUGAAGAUGACUGUUGUAUGCACAAACAGUGAUAUUUCUUUGUAUAAGUAUGUUUAACCUAAGGAGAUGAAAACGUGGACCAAAGUUACCAUAGUGAAACAAACUGUUGAAAAUAUGAAGUUUUUUUUUUUAUAAUAUAUUAAAAUGUGGUCAGUGUGAAGAAAUUUAAUUUACACAUAGCUUACAAAAACACUUAACUUCAUCUGAUAUUUUUUGCUCCUUGACCGAUUUUAAUUAGAAAAUUCAUCAUUUCUCUGAGUAAGUUAUUUAACUCGUUAACUCAAAAAAUAGUUAAAAAGUUGUCCAAUUGCUUUUUGUAUGUUGGAAACAACAUAUUCUUAUACUUUAAUAAAGUAUUUAUUAACUGUUAGUUUAAAAUUCUUUAUUUUGGCUAAGAAGAAAAGUAAGUCGUAAUCUAAACAAGCAUACCUCAACCGUUUCCAUACCAGAGACUGGUGCUGUCGCCCUAGAUUAGCUGGAAUCAAUAAAAUGCAAGUAUAAUUAAAAACCAUUACAGAAUAUAUAUAUAUAUGAAUAUUCUUUCAAUUUUUGUUUGUAUAUUUGUUUUCUGGAAAUCCCACAGGCUGGUAAGGUGGCAGUCCACAGACUGAGGGUUGAGAAACACUGAUGUAAGCUAUUCUGCCACAUAUAAUUGAAUACUAAGAGAGAUAUUUUAUACACAAAACAGUACAUAUAGAUCUCCUAAUAAGUUCAUUUUUAAAACUUAACAUUCUUUUAAGAGUUUCUUUUAUAAUAGCUAUAAAACAUUAAAAUUUGAUGUUUUCAAGUUGUAAGGAUCAUUUUUUGUUCCAUGUACAUGUUUAGACAUGACGUACAGAAAGUUUCAGAAUUUGAAGGAUUUAUAUCGUUAAAACAUCUCUACUGUUUUUGGUUUGUAAAGGUCCUUUGUAGUUGUUGAUUUUAACCCAUUACUACAUUUUCAUUCUACAUGAUACCUUGGUAAAGUUGAAAUGAGUGUGUGUUUUGUGUAAUAAAAAAUACUGACUUUGUUGCAA
rnacentral:misc_RNA from 1 species